UACGUAGGGUGCAAGCGUUAAUCGGAAUUACUGGGCGUAAAGCGUGCGCAGGCGGUUUUGUAAGUCUGAUGUGAAAUCCCCGGGCUCAACCUGGGAAUUGCAUUGGAGACUGCAAGUCUAGAAUCUGGCAGAGGGGGGUAGAAUUCCACGUGUAGCAGUGAAAUGCGUAGAGAUGUGGAGGAACACCGAUGGCGAAGGCAGCCCCCUGGGUCAAGAUUGACGCUCAUGCACGAAAGCGUGGGGAGCAAACAGG
rnacentral:rRNA from 1 species